UACGUAGGGGGCUAGCGUUGUCCGGAAUCAUUGGGCGUAAAGCGCGUGUAGGCGGUCCGGUAAGUCCGCUGUGAAAGUCGAGGGCUCAACCCUCGAAUGCCGGUGGAUACUGUCGGGCUAGAGUGCGGAAGAGGCGAGUGGAAUUCCUGGUGUAGCGGUGAAAUGCGCAGAUAUCAGGAGGAACACCAGUGGCGAAGGCGGCACUCUGGGCCGGUACUGACGCUGAGGAGCGAAAGCGUGGGGAGCGAACAGG
rnacentral:rRNA from 1 species